rnacentral:rRNA from 1 species
GUUAGACGAACAGCCUGGAAAGGCCGACGAUACAGGGUGAUAGUCCCGUAGUUGACGACGUGUGUUCAGUGAAAUCGAGUAGGGCGGGACACGUGAUAUCCUGUCUGAAUAUGGGGGGACCAUCCUCCAAGGCUAAAUACUACUGACUGACCGAUAGUGAACCAGUACCGUGAGGGAAAGGCGAAAAGAACCCCUGUGAGGGGAGUGAAAUAGAACCUGAAACCGUGUACGUACAAGCAGUAGGAGCACCUUCGUGGUGUGACUGCGUACCUUUUGUAUAAUGGGUCAGCGACUUAUAUUCAGUGGCAAGGUUAACCAUCUAGGGGAGCCGUAGCGAAAGCGAGUGUUAACUGCGCGACUCAGUCGCUGGAUAUAGACCCGAAACCAGGUGAUCUAGCCAUGGGCAGGUUGAAGAUUGAGUAACAUCAAUUGGAGGACCGAACCGACUAAUGUUGAAAAAUUAGCGGAUGACUUGUGGCUAGGGGUGAAAGGCCAAUCAAACCUGGAGAUAGCUGGUUCUCCCCGAAAGCUAUUUAGGUAGCGCCUCGGACGAAUACUACUGGGGGUAGAGCACUGUUAAGGCUAGGGGGUCAUCCCGACUUACCAACCCUUUGCAAACUCCGAAUACCAGUAAGUACUAUCCGGGAG